AUACGGAGGAUGCGAGCGUUAUCCGGAUUUAUUGGGUUUAAAGGGUGCGUAGGCUGUGCGUUAAGUCAGGGGUGAAAUGCCGUCGCUCAACGACGGAGCUGCCCUUGAUACUGGCGUGCUGGAGUACGGAUGCCGUUGGAGGAAUGAGUGGUGUAGCGGUGAAAUGCUAAGAUAUCACUCAGAACACCGAUUGCGAAGGCAACUACCGAAACCUCCACUUACGCGGAUGCACGAAUGCUUGGGGAUAGAACAGUAUCAGAUACCCUUGUAUUCCGCGCCGUAAACGAUGAUGACGAACCGUCGGCGAUAGACAACCGGGGGCCAAUCGAAAGCGAUAAGUCAUCCACCUGGGGAGGACGUCGGCAACGAUGAAACUCAAAGGAAUUGACGGUG
rnacentral:rRNA from 1 species